rnacentral:rRNA from 1 species
UACCAGCACCCCGAGUGGUCGGGACGUUUAUUGGGCCUAAAGCCUCCGUAGCCGGUUCUACAAGUCUUCCGUUAAAUCCACCUGCUUAACAGAUGGGCUGCGGAAGAUACUAUAGAGCUAGGAGGCGGGAGAGGCAAGCGGUACUCGAUGGGUAGGGGUAAAAUCCGUUGAUCCAUUGAAGACCACCAGUGGCGAAGGCGGCUUGCCAGAACGCGCUCGACGGUGAGGGAUGAAGGCUGGGGGAGCAAACCGG